rnacentral:rRNA from 1 species
GCCCACGGGGCGCAGCAGUGGGGAAUAUUGCACAAUGGGGGGAACCCUGAUGCAGCGACGCCGCGUGAGUGAAGAAGUAUCUCGGUACGUAAAGCUCUAUCAGCAGGGAAGAAAAUGACAGUACCUGACUAAGAAGCCCCGGCUAACUACGUGCCAGCAGCCGCGGUAAUACGUAGGGGGCAGGCGUUAUCCGGAUUUACUGGGUGUAAAGGGAGCGGAGACGGCACUGCAAGUCCGGCGUGAAAGCCCACAGCCCAACUGUGGGACUGCUCUGGAAACUGUGGCGCUCGCGUUCGGGAGGUGCG